CGGCCUUGGCCUCGUCCUCUGGGUGCUGCCGGCAAGGAGGCGAGGGGCGAGGCGGGCCGUGGCGGCGCUUGUACGCCGGCCGUGCAGCGUCCGGUGCUGCUGAGCGGUGGGCCAGCGCUCUGCUGGACCCGCUGGACAGUGGGCGGCCUCGGCCUCUGGGUGGUGCCGGCAAGGAUGCGAGGGGCGAGGGGCACGAUGGCUCCGCUGGGUAGGCCAUGUAGGCGUGUCCCUUCAUCCGUCCAGACCCCCAUCGGAACAGUCCCCGGGUGGCGUCGCGCGGCGUUUGUAUGCGUGUGCGCUGCCCCUCCUUUCUCUGCCGAAGCGGUCGGCGAGGACGCCCCCCCAGGAUUCGAUGCGCGCGCCAGCCAUGGGUGCAGAGGCGGCCAUAGAUUCGGCUACCUAGGCCUAGGAGCGCCCAUUGCAGGAAGGUGGCUCAACUGAUUUUGAUUUGGAUCCUUCCUUUGCUUGAUCUCAUGCCGUGAUUAUUGAGUGAUUGCAUCUAAUGCUCUUAUCUCUAGGCCUUUUCGAUUGUUUAUGUUCAGUGCCUGUUGUGCCUUGCAUCAGUAGAAGGACAUUGUGAUUACAUCUCGUGCUUUUUCUUAUGACUUCAGCAAGCUUCUUGGGUUUGAGCAGCAGCAUCUCAGGAUCCGGAGUAGCAUGUGGGCGGCACACGUUAGAGUGGCGGCGCAGCAUGUGGAACUGGCAGGCUCCCCAAGCGACAAAAAGGCCGAGUGAAACUGCAGUGACUCUCCUUCAGAUCCUAGCACAGGAGAUGGGUGCCAGCUAGCCAUGAAAUUGUUGAUCGAGUGGGAAUCCUUCUGAGAUUGGCAAGGAUUGGAAGGACUUGGAAUUGAUUCAAUUUGUUGAUAUUAAAACUUGCAUUGAGAGACAAGAUGAUGGCGUACAGUUGUGAUAGAUUGAUUACCUUUCAAGCAUUUAUGCUCUUGCUCUCUACUGGCAGUAUUUAUGCAUGUUUCAUGGCAUUUAUUCUUUUUUUCUUGGGUAAGCAUGUUUUUUAAAUCAUUUGCAGUGUUUUGCAAGCAAUGAAAUAUUCUAUGAGAGUUCUAACUGUAACAUAAAGUUAUAUUGAACUUAGCAAAACAAGAAUGCAGUCGAAAUUGUCAGUUUUCUAAAGUUCUGCAAUGUGUUUCAUGCGGAGCCUCAAAUAUCGUUUUGAUGUUAGGGCCAAUCGCUUGCAAGUCCCACCAUCGAAGGUGUGUGGUGCCAUCCCAUAUUGUUUGUUUUUCUACUAAUUUUCUCCGAGUCAAUGUGUUGGUUGUGUCUUGAUUUGCUAGUUUCGGCCAUGGUUUGAUAUAUAAUGCCCACCGUCUCAUAUGAUUGAUUUUUAUCUAGGGCAAUGGAUGUAUAUUCUUCAGUUGCAAAUAAUGAAAGAAAACAACAAUAACCUCACUGAGCUCAAUUGCCGUAUCUGUUCUGGAGAAUGUUUGAGCUACAGUUUGCCAAAAAAUUGAACACCACUUACAAGAAAAUUGAACUGUAUGCAGAUUCAAAGAUGUUUAUCUCACUGAGCUCAAUUGCCGCCUCUGUUCUUUUUUUUGGGAUAUUUGUGUGGUGUUCAGUGCACUAAAAAUCCAAAAAGGUGGAUUACCAAUGUAUCUCUAGAGAUCUCAUAUGUUUUCAUUUCACUUUUCAAGGAACAUUUAGGAAAGCAACAUAGAGAGACGUUCUGCUGGUCUCUGUUAAGAAGCUUGAUGAUGAAGAACCAUCGUCAAUGGCUGAUGUGCCAGAAUUACAAUAACCAAAAGACGAGACGAAUUAUUACAAUCAUUUGAUGGGUAUUGCUGGCAGUCUCCCUGCUUUAGCUUGGGUUGCAUCCUUAGGAAAAGAUUGUGAUUAAAAGUUGACAUUUUUUGCACUGCGUGAGUAUGUUAUUUAAGUUAACAAGUAAUGGAGUGCAUAUGCCUAUUUUAUGUAGAAAAAUUAUGACUGUUAUAUAAGAUAUGGUGUGCCUAA